rnacentral:rRNA from 1 species
AGAGUUUGAUCAUGGCUCAGAUUGAACGCUGGCGGCAGGCCUAACACAUGCAAGUCGAGCGGAUGACGGGAGCUUGCUCCUGGAUUCAGCGGCGGACGGGUGAGUAAUGCCUAGGAAUCUGCCUGGUAGUGGGGGACAACGUUUCGAAAGGAACGCUAAUACCGCAUACGUCCUACGGGAGAAAGCAGGGGACCUUCGGGCCUUGCGCUAUCAGAUGAGCCUAGGUCGGAUUAGCUUGUUGGUGAGGUAAUGGCUCACCAAGGCGACGAUCCGUAACUGGUCUGAGAGGAUGAUCAGUCACACUGGAACUGAGGCACGGUCCAGACUCCUACGGGAGGCAGC